AGUUGCAGGGUAUAGACCCGAAACCCGGUGAUCUAUCCAUGGGCAGGUUGAAGGUUGGGUAACACUAACUGGAGGACCGAACCGACUAAUGUUGAAAAAUUAGCGGAUGACUUGUGGAUGGGGGUGAAAGGCCAAUCAAACCGGGAGAUAGCUGGUUCUCCCCGAAAGCUAUUUAGGUAGCGCCUCGUGAACUCAUCUUCGGGGGUAGAGCACUGUUUCGACUAGGGGGUCAUCCCGACUUACCAACUCGAUGCAAACUGCGAAUACCGAAGAAUGUUAUCACGGGAGACACACGGCGGGUGCUAACGUCCGUCGUGAAGAGGGAAACAACCCAGACCGCCAGCUAAGGUCCCAAAGUCAUGGUUAAGUGGGAAACGAAGUGGGAAGGCUCAGACAGCCAGGAUGUUGGCUUAGAAGCAGCCAUCAUUUAAAGAAAGCGUAAUAGCUCACUGGUCGAGUCGGCCCGCGCGGAAGAUGUAACGGGGCUAAACCAUGCACCGAAGCUGCGGCAGCGACACAAAGUGUUGUUGGGUAGGGGAGCGUUCUGUAAGCCUGCGAAGGUGUACUGUGAGGUAUGCUGGAGGUAUCAGAAGUGCGAAUGCUGACAUAAGUAACGAUAAUGCGGGUGAAAAACCCGCACGCCGGAAGACCAAGGGUUCCUGUCCAACGUUAAUCGGGGCAGGGUGAGUCGACCCCUAAGGCGAGGCUGAAAAGCGUAGUCGAUGGGAAACGGGUUAAUAUUCCCGUACUGGUGGUAACUGCGAUGGGGGAACGGAGAAGGCUAGGUUGUCCGGGCGACGGUCGUCCCGGUUCAAGCAGGUAGGCAGAGUGAUUAGGCAAAUCCGGUCACUUAAUGCUGAGAUGUGAUGACGAACCACUAAGGUGGUGAAGCAAUUGAUGCCCCGCUUCCAGGAAAAGCCUCUAAGCUUCAGGUUACCAACAAUCGUACCCCAAACCGACACAGGUGGUCAGGUAGAGAAUACUCAGGCGCUUGAGAGAACUCGGGUGAAGGAACUAGGCAAAAUGGUGCCGUAACUUCGGGAGAAGGCACGCUGGCGGUAGGUAAAGUCCCUCGCGGACAGAGCUGAAGCCAGUCGAAGAUACCAGCUGGCUGCAACUGUUUAUUAAAAACACAGCACUGUGCAAACACGAAAGUGGACGUAUACGGUGUGACGCCUGCCCGGUGCUGGAAGGUUAAUUGAUGGGGUUAGCGCAAGCGAAGCUCCUGAUCGAAGCCCCAGUAAACGGCGGCCGUAACUAUAACGGUCCUAAGGUAGCGAAAUUCCUUGUCGGGUAAGUUCCGACCUGCACGAAUGGCGUAAUGAUGGCCAGGCUGUCUCCACCCGAGACUCAGUGAAAUUGAACUCGCUGUGAAGAUGCAGUGUACCCGCGGCAAGACGGAAAGACCCCGUGAACCUUUACUAUAGCUUGACACUGAACAUUGAGCCUUGAUGUGUAGGAUAGGUGGGAGGCUUUGAAGUGUGGACGCCAGUCUGCAUGGAGCCAACCUUGAAAUACCACCCUUUAACGUUUGAUGUUCUAACCUAGGCCCAUAAACUGGGUCGGGGACCGUGUCUGGUGGGUAGUUUGACUGGGGCGGUCUCCUCCUAAAGAGUAACGGAGGAGCACGAAGGUUGGCUAAGCAUGGUCGGACAUCAUGCGGUUAGUGCAAAGGCAUAAGCCAGCUUGACUGCGAGAGUGACGGCUCGAGCAGGUACGAAAGUAGGUCUUAGUGAUCCGGUGGUUCUGAAUGGAAGGGCCAUCGCUCAACGGAUAAAAGGUACUCCGGGGAUAACAGGCUGAUACCGCCCAAGAGUUCAUAUCGACGGCGGUGUUUGGCACCUCGAUGUCGGCUCAUCACAUCCUGGGGCUGAAGUAGGUCCCAAGGGUAUGGCUGUUCGCCAUUUAAAGUGGUACGCGAGCUGGGUUUAGAACGUCGUGAGACAGUUCGGUCCCUAUCUGCCGUGGGCGUUGGAAGAUUGAGAGGGGUUGCUCCUAGUACGAGAGGACCGGAGUGAACGCACCACUGGUGUUCGGGUUGUCAUGCCAAUGGCAUUGCCCGGUAGCUAAGUGCGGAAGAGAUAACCGCUGAAAGCAUCUAAGCGGGAAACUUGCCUCGAGAUGAGUCUUCCCUGUCGCUUUAAGCGACCUAAAGGAACGUUUAAGACUAAGACGUUGAUAGGCUGGGUGUGUAAGCGUAGCGAUACGUUGAGCUAACCAGUACUAAUGAACCGUGAGGCUUAACCUGACAACACCGAAAGUGUUUUG
rnacentral:rRNA from 1 species